rnacentral:rRNA from 1 species
CUACGUAGGGUGCAAGCGUUAAUCGGAAUUACUGGGCGUAAAGCGUGCGCAGGCGGUUUUGUAAGACAGAGGUGAAAUCCCCGGGCUCAAACUGGGAACUGCCUUUGUGACCGCAAGGCUAGAGUACGGCAGAGGGGGAUGGAAUUCCGCGUGUAGCAGUGAAAUGCGUAGAUAUGCGGAGGAACACCGAUGGCGAAGGCAAUCCCCCGGGCCUGUACUGACGCUCAUGCACGAAAGCGUGGGGAGCAAACAGGAUUAGAUACCCUGGUAGUCCACGCCCUAAACGAUGUCAACUGGUUGUUGGGUCUUCAUUGACUCAGUAACGAAGCUAACGCGUGAAGUUGACCGCCUGGGGAGUACGGCCGCAAGGUUGAAACUCAAAUGAAUUGGCGGGG